rnacentral:rRNA from 1 species
AGAGUUUGAUCAUGGCUCAGAUUGAACGCUGGCGGCAGGCCUAACACAUGCAAGUCGAGCGGCAGCACGGGUACUUGUACCUGGUGGCGAGCGGCGGACGGGUGAGUAAUACCUAGGAAUCUGCCUGGUAGUGGGGGGAUAACGUUCGGAAACGGACGCUAAUACCGCAUACGUCCUACGGGAGAAAGCAGGGGACCUUCGGGCCUUGCGCUAUCAGAUGAGCCUAGGUCGGAUUAGCUAGUUGGUGAGGUAAUGGCUCACCAAGGCUACGAUCCGUAACUGGUCUGAGAGGAUGAUCAGUCACACUGGAACUGAGACACGGUCCAGACUCCUACGGGAGGCAGCAGUGGGGAAUAUUGGACAAUGGGCGAAAGCCUGAUCCAGCCAUGCCGCGUGUGUGAAGAAGGUCUUCGGAUUGUAAAGCACUUUAAGUUGGGAGGAAGGGCCGUUACCUAAUACGUGAUGGUUUUGACGUUACCGACAGAAUAAGCACCGGCUAACUCUGUGCCAGCAGCCGCGGUAAUACAGAGGGUGCAAGCGUUAAUCGGAAUUACUGGGCGUAAAGCGCGCGUAGGUGGUUCGUUAAGUUGGAUGUGAAAUCCCCGGGCUCAACCUGGGAACUGCAUUCAAAACUGUCGAGCUAGAGUAUGGUAGAGGGUGGUGGAAUUUCCUGUGUAGCGGUGAAAUGCGUAGAUAUAGGAAGGAACACCAGUGGCGAAGGCGACCACCUGGACUGAUACUGACACUGAGGUGCGAAAGCGUGGGGAGCAAACAGGAUUAGAUACCCNNGUAGUCC